rnacentral:misc_RNA from 1 species
AAGUCAUAACAAGGUUACUGUAGGUGAACCUGCAGUAGGAUCAUUUAUUGAAAAAAUAGGGCUUUUCCCAUUUCUCUGGGGGCCCCGAACCUUCACAUAAUUUCCACACACUUGUUGAAUCGUUGGAGCGUUUUUUUGAAAAAGAGACGCUCUGGCACCCUUUAAUUAUUUACAAACACCGAGUUAAUGGAUGUAGUUGUAAACUUGUCUUUUUGACAGAAACAAAAAUACAAU